rnacentral:rRNA from 1 species
UGAGGGAUAUUGGUCAAUGGGCGCAAGCCUGAACCAGCGACGCCGCGUGGGUGAAGAAGGUCUUCGGAUCGUAAAGCCCUUUUCCCACUGAAGAGGAAGGACGGUAGGUGGGGAAGAAGUCUCGGCUAACUACGUGCCAGCAGCCGCGGUAAAACGUAGGAGACAAGCGUUAUCCGGAGUUACUGGGCGUAAAGGGCGUGCAGGUGGCGUCUUAAGUCUGUUGUGAAAGCGCCUGGCUUAACCGGGCGAGGCCAAUGGAGACUGAGAGGCUGGAGGACGGCGGAGGGGUGUGGAAUUCCGGGUGUAGUGGUGAAAUGCGUAGAGAUCCGGAGGAACACCAGAG